rnacentral:rRNA from 1 species
AGAGUUUGAUCAUGGCUCAGAGCGAACGCUGGCGGCGUGCUUAACACAUGCAAGUCGAGUGCGCGUCUGUAGCAAUACAGAUGGCGCCCGGCGCACGGGUGCGUAACACGUGGGUAAUCUGCCCUUCGAUGGGGAAUAUCUUCGGGAAACCGAAGCGAAUUCCGCAUAACAUUCCUUGAACUUCGGUUUGGGGACUCAAAGCCGUAAGGCGUCGGAGGAGGAACCCGCGCACGAUUAGCUAGUUGGUAGGGUAACGGCCUACCAAGGCUUUGAUCGUUAGCUGGUCUGAGAGGAUGGCCAGCCACACUGGAACUGAGACACGGUCCAGACUCCUACGGGAGGCAGCAGUGGGGAAUCUUGCACAAUGGGCGAAAGCCUGAUGCAGCGACGCCGCGUGGGGGAUGAAGCUUUUCGGAGUGUAAACCCCUUUCGACCCGGACGAAUGCCCCGCAAGGGGACUGACGGUACGGGUAUAAGAAGCCCCGGCUAACUACGUGCCAGCAGCCGCGGUAAGACGUGGGGGGCCAGCGUUGCUCGGAAUUACUGGGUGUAAAGGGUUCGUAGGCGGUGUGGCAAGUCGGGAGUGAAAUCUCUGGGCUUAACCCAGAGUCUGCUUCCGAAACUGCUGUGCUUGAGUGUGGGAGAGGCGCGUGGAAUUGCAGGUGUAGCGGUGAAAUGCGUAGAUAUCUGCAGGAACACCCGUGGCGAAAGCGGCGCGCUGGACCACUACUGACGCUGAGGAACGAAAGCUAGGGGAGCAAACAGGAUUAGAUACCCUGGUAGUCCUAGCCCUAAACGAUCAGGACUUGGGGUGCCGCACGUUCGUGCGUCGUCCCGGAGCUACGCGUUAAGUCCUGCACCUGGGGGGUACGGUCGCAGACUGAAACUCAAAGGAAUUGACGGGGGCCCGCACAAGCGGUGGAACAUGUGGUUCAAUUC